GUGCCAGCAGCCGCGGUAAUACGAAGGGUGCAAGCGUUACUCGGAAUCACUGGGCGUAAAGCGCGCGCAGGCGGCCUUUUAAGUUGGAUGUGAAAGCCUAUGGCUCAACCAUAGAACUGCAUCCAAAACUAUCAGGCUAGAGUGUGGGAGAGGAAGAUGGAAUUAGUUGUGUAGGGGUAAAAUCCGUAGAGAUAACUAGGAAUACCAAAAGCGAAGGCAAUCUUCUGGAACAUUACUGACGCUGAGGCGCGAAAGCGUGGGGAGCAAACAGGAUUAGAUACCCUGGUAGUCCACGCCCUAAACGAUGAAUGUUAGUCGUCGGGUAGCUAGUCUAUUCGGUGAUGCAGCUAACGCAUUAAACAUUCCGCCUGGGGAGUACGGUCGCAAGAUUAAAACUCAAAGGAAUAGACGGGGACCCGCACAAGUGGUGGAGCAUGUGGUUUAAUUCGAAGAUACGCGAAGAACCUUACCUAGCCUUGACAUAUUUUAGAACACUUUAGAGAUAGAGUGGUGCCUUCGGGAGCUAAUAUACAGGUGCUGCACGGCUGUCGUCAGCUCGUGUCGUGAGAUGUUGGGUUAAGUCCCGCAACGAGCGCAACCCUCGUCACUAGUUACUAACGGUUCGGCCGAGGACUCUAGUGAGACUGCCUUCGCAAGGAGGAGGAAGGUGAGGACGACGUCAAGUCAUCAGGGCCCUUACGGCUAGGGCAACACACGUGCUACAAUGGCCAGGACAAUGAGAAGCGAUACCGCGAGGUGGAGCAAAUCUAUAAACCUGGUCUCAGUUCGGAUUGUAGUCUGCAACUCGACUACAUGAAGCUGGAAUCACUAGUAAUCGUAGAUCAGCUAUGCUACGGUGAAUACGUUCCCGGGUCUUGUACUCACCGCCCGUCACACCAUGGGAGUUGAUUUCACCCGAAGCGGGGAAGCUAAACUGGCUACCCUCCACGGUGGAAUCAGCGACUGGGGUGAAGUCGUAACAAGGUAGC
rnacentral:rRNA from 1 species